CAGCUAGUCAAAGAGACCCAGGCAGACUGAAGGAACAAGACACAGAGGUGGAUGAAAACAAUAAUGUGGUCUUCGCAAGCAGUGAUGAUGGCUGUUCUGAUAGUGGUGGUAAGUGUUACCUGCUCACUAGUAGAGCCGUUGGUAUACUGUCUCAUGAAUAAGCUGCAUUUAUGAUAAACUGCCUAGAGUUAUGUAUGUGACAUUGACUAAUAUAAGACACUGAUGUUAGCCUGUUAGCUCUAGUUCCUAAUGGUUAAAAGGAAAUGGGUGGCAUGUUAUAGCCAAAUAAACACACUGUUGGCCAACUUCAGUGCUCAGUAAUCUAUACAAAAGAUAACACUUGAUCAUGUACACUCUCUCUAUAGUGAGCUCCUUUAUUACAGCAAGAAAUAGACUGAAAAACACAUGAAAUCUGCGAGUUUAUCACCACAACCCAGAUUCUAAUUUUUGUUACAUUUGUCAAAUGUAGUUUUAUACAAAUGCCACCUUGUAAUGGCUGUGCAGUGGGGGGUUUUUCCUUUUGCUUUUUUAAUUUAUCCUAAAUAAAAGAAGAGUAAUUACCAUUUACAUACUCUUGAUGGCUAAUAUUUGACAUCUGGUGUCAGUCACAGGUGAAAGUCCCAUAGCAGCUACUCAGAGUGAUCCUCAGGGAAAUGAGGAGGAGGAGAAAGGAGGAGGCAGUGAGAUGGAUGAAGGUCAGAUUUUCCAGAUUUAUUCAAUAGAAAGGAAAAAAAUCAGUGAAUUAGGACGAUGUGGCACAUUAAUUUAUUUAUUUUUUUAUUUUUUUAAAGACGAUAGUUCUCAGCAUUUCGCAGAUGUAAAUGAAGAGACCAAAGAAGUAACACUCGCCGUGAGGAAAAGGGGAAAAACCAAAGUGGCCAAAGCAAAGGAGAUCCCCCGUGCGAAGGUCAAGAAGCCAUGGAGUGAAGCAGAGAAGACGGCAGUGCAAAGACGGCUGGGAAAAUUUGUCGCAGAGCGUAAAGUUCCAAAAAAAGAACACUGCAUGAAAUGCUUAGAAGCGGAAAAAGACCUAGCUAAUCGCUCAUGGAAAGAUGUUAAAAACUUUGUGUACAACACGAUUGUCACUCUGAAUCGAAGGUCUGCUUGUAAAAAACUCUUCUAAAAUAAGUUUACCUUGAUAAUGUUAAGACAUUAUUUAAGAUUUAAUUUUGUCUUCUCAUGCUUGGUUUGUGACUGACUUGACGGCUUUGGUAGCAACUGCGAGUCUGAUUGUAAUUUGAUUGGCUUUAUGUUUUGGAGUGGUGAACUGUGAGGGCGAUGAAAAUACCUUUACCUGGUGUCUUUUGAGGUAACCCGUUUUGGAUUUUAAGUUCUAGGUUUUUGCCCAGGAUGUUUUUGGUUCAUUUAUUUUAUAAUCUGUUAAAGUACAUUAGGCAUCUAAGUUGUUCACCUUCUUAAUGGCUUAAUGGUUAGAACACAUCCUAAAGUGUCCACCUUUGCUCAGUGCUGAUGUUCAUUGGCGAAAAGUUUAAUUUUGGUUUUAAUUAUGUAGGAAGCAGGAAGGUCAUACUGGUACAGUUGUAGCCAUCCUAAGCUUUACUGAUUUUUCUUUUUGGCAAAAGUCAAAACAAACUGAUCAAAGUUAUUGAUCACUAUUUUAGUUGUAAGUCAUUAGACUUAAUAGUUGUCUUCAUUGUUAUAAUAGCAAUUAUUAUUCCUCUGGAAGGAUGUUACAUUGUGAAAUAAACUGAAUUUGCUCUUGUUGCAGCAUUGUGGGAAUUUCCUUGGUAAUUAUUAAUAAAAUCUACAGCAGUAUUUGAAAUGUAAUACUACCUUUUUUGUUAUGUAGGGUUGUAUUGAUAGAUUAUCAGAACUUUUUAGUUAUUCUAUUUAUGUAUAAAGUUGAGACUGUUUAACUUUAACAUUAUUUGGUUGCACUAAAAUAGAAAAUGUCAAGGAGUAAAUGCAAACAGAAAAAAAACAUAUAGACAGAAACGAACACAAAAGCACCCCCUGGUGGAAAAUCACCUGAAUAGCACUCAAUGACAAGGUCCUCAUUCUGAUAGUAGAAUGAGAUUUUUUUUUUACUUGAGUGUUUUAAGAUUUUGAGGUGAUUUUUGGUGUCAGAGAGCCACCCAGUGUUCAAAAGUGGCAAAGGUUUGUCUGCAAGUGUAGCAGAAAUGGUGGUCCUCACUUUGAUAGUGCACUUACCCGGUCCUCAGUCGUUAUGCAAGACAGGAAUGUGUGUGUGUGUGUGU